AGGACAACAACCUGAAUGCACAGCACUUCCAAAUUUAUGAUCUUGACAUGGGUUUUGGCAUAGUAGGAGGAAACCUCCUUGACAACGUCUAUUUCUACAACAAGAGGGACCUGAACACAGCCUUCAGGAUUCAGUCGUAUCAGGUGUCCAGUCUGAA